AAACAAAUGUAGCAAUUAUGGUUAAAGAACAGAAUGUAGAUGUGAAAAACCUUAGCAAUAUAGUAAUGAUAAAACUAAUAAAAAGAGGUGAGGAGAAGGGAGAGGAGGUGCGUAAAGCAGUGUAGGCAUGUGGAUUUCCUCAUCUUUCAUAGCCACAGGUAAAAAUAUGUAAUUUAAGGCUAAUAAAUCAAGUAAUAGAUUAUAAUUAUAUUUAAAAAUGUAAAGUCAAUCAAUUAAUCAGUCAAUAGAAUGAGUAUUGAGGAAUAGAGAGAAGCAGGGAACAGGUGGAAAUACAAACUUAUUACAUUCAUUUUUCACAGGAUAUUAAUAAAUACUGCCUAAAAUAUGAAGGAUUAAGGAAUUAAUUUAAAGUUAAAAAAAAAACAGCUGUGGAACAGACAUUUAAGUUUUCCAAAUUAUCAAAAGAAACACACACACACAAAAGGAAACAGAACAAAAAGCAGAGACCAUAUGGUAAAAGAAGCAAUAUAAACAGAAAGCAUAACAUAAAAUGUGAUGAGGUGAACAAGACUUCAAUAAUAUAAUGAGAUAAAUUCACCUAUUAAAAGAAAAAUAUUUCUCAUAAUGGAUUUUAAAGCAAAAUCCAAAUGUUCUUUAUAUACAAGCAACAGACCUGACAAAAAUGACUCGGGCUGAAAACCAAAGGACGGACAGAGGCAUACUUGGCCAACGCAAACAAAAAGUAAGCAGGGUCCCAAUCUUAAUAUCAGAUAAGGAUGAAUUCAGAGCAAAGAGCAAUAAAGAAAACAAAGGUGGCUUUUUAUAAUGAUAAAAGGGAACAAUCUGUAAUGGAGACCUAAAAACAUGUCUUUAUAUAUUCCAAAAUCUGAAAAAAAUACUCAAAAAAUUGUAUAACCUCAUGAAAAUUAUUAAUCAAAAAUAUAAAUGAAAGUAUUAACAAACAGAACCUAUCAGCACAUUAAAAGAAUAGGACAUUACUGUCAAGGAUCACUUAUUCCAAGAAUAAAAGGAUGGUUCAAUAUGAGUAAAUCUAUAACACAACUGAUUACAUUAAUUGAUCAAAGAGAAAAAUCACAUAAUCAAUCUCCAGUACACUGAAAGAGAUUUCGUGAAAUUCAACAUCCAUUCUUAAGGAAAAAAACUCUUUUAACAACAUAAGUACAGAUGAACAAUUCCUGAAGAUAACCAUGUGUCUAUCGAUCGAUCCACUUACGCUAAAGCCAGCAUCAUGCUUAAUGGGAAAAUACUACAGCACGCUCGUUAAAGUCAAGAACAAGACAAAGAUGAUAUUGACUAUUAUUCUGACUUAACAUUUUUCUGGAUGUUCUAGCCAAUGUAAUUAGACAAAGAGCAAAAAUAAGAGGUAUAAAACUUGGAAAAAGAGGAGCUAAAUUUUACAAAAUUUGAAAAAAAAAUCUAUAUGGAAAAUCCAAGAGAAUCAAUCGAAAAAUCAUUAUAAUUAGUAAGAGAAUUCAGUAAAGGGCAAGAGCUGGUACAUAAUUAAUAUACCAAAAUCAAUAACUUUCAUAUAUAUAUGUAACACCUAGUUGGAAGAAAUAAUAAAAAAAUUCUCAGAAUGUAUCAUAUUCCUCAAGUAUGCUAUUCUCCUUCAUGAUUAAUCACCUUUU
ensembl:lncRNA